GUUGCACCAAUUUACAUUCCCACCAGCAGUGUGGGAUUCCCUUUUCCUCACACCUUCUCCAGCAUUUAUUGUUUGUAGACUUUUUGAUGAUGGCCCUUCUGACCAGAAGACCCUUAUUGAGAAGGGCCAGGAGUUCCCGCUGUGACUCAGCAGUAACAAACCCUACCAGGAUUCAUGAGGACGCAGGUUCAAUCCCUGGCCUCGCUCUGUGGGUUAAGGCUCGUUGUUGCCAUAAGCCGUGGGUAGGUCACAGUUGAAACUCGGACCUGGUAUUGCUGUGGCUGUGGGUAGGCCAGCGGCUACAGCUCUGAUUGGACCCCUAGCCUGGGAGCUUCCAUAUGCCGCAGGUGUGGCCCUGAAGAAAAAAAAAAAAAAAAAAAAAAAAGACAGACAUGCCAGUGCUCUGGGGCUGUUCACACCUGGGCACAUUGCAGCAGAGCAGAGCCAGCCUUUCCCUCGUCUCCUUCCCAAAGUAGACCUCAGGCCAAGGGCUACUUUGCUGUUUGUUGGUCUAGCUCCUCGUUACCAAUGAGGGCGGGUGAAGCCAGCGGGGCUGUGACACGCCGACGGGAGAGACUGUUUUAAGAUUCUGAGUAAGUAAGACUUACUGAUAACAGCAACAAUAAUAAUAACAACGAGAGGCAGUAGCCUCCACGGAGCGUGAGGGCUUUUCUUUUUCAGCUGGACGGUGAAGCCUUCUGGCUUCUCCUCCUGCGUCGCAGCACCAGCCUCGUGGUGUUUGUAUUUCUCUUUGGCCAGGCAUGUAUUUUGCAAUUUAAAAUGAUAAAGCAAACAGGCCCAGUUUUCAUAGAAACUUGCGUGAAACCUCUCCACGGUGGUUUGGGGAGCCCAGAUAGGCCAAGUUUCCCUUGAAACGUGGGGCGAGAGGGACCUUAAGGACAGGCCAUCCGGAGAGCGUGAAUGAGCGCAUUCAUCCCGACGGGGCUCCGUGAAUUGACUCGAAGACAUGCAUGUCCCACGAAACCCACCCUUUCAUGGAUGUGCUUGUGGCCAGUUUGUCUCAGCUUGAAAUGGAAGGCUGACAAGACGGGGGCUCUUUUUUCCUCUUAGCAAUAAUUACAUGCCAGAUGCCGUUCCAAGUUCUGCGCCCCGACCAGUUAAAGAUUUUUGGACCUUUUGCCCAGAACGCCUGUUUAGAAGGUAAGCUUGUUAGCGUCUAAGCCAAGUAUAAUAAUAAUGAGUCAGGUCAGAGACUACAAGGGACUCUGUGAUGAGCAAAAAAAUAAUAAUAGUAAUGAGUGCAUAUGGCAUAUCAUGCAACCUUUUACAUGUGUGUGUAUGUGCAUAUAAAUAGGAGGUGGGAUUGGCCCAGUGACCAAAAAAAAAAAAAAAAAUUAUGUUACAACUUCAGAAUUAGGCCUCCUUUGUUUGUUCUUAGAAGCAGUCAGUAGCCAGUUCUUCUCUCCCUGGUACCCAGAGCUUCCCAGAAACCCUUUCUGACAGAAGAGCUGCCAGAGGCCUUAAGGAAGCGAGGCAUUCAUUUGGUAUUGCUUGUCAGGCCUCCUUUUUUUGCAUCUGUCUAUAAGAAGAGGGUGACUGCUCAGACUGGUGUCGAGAACCCGUUUUCCGUGGUCAGACUGGGUUGGAUCCCAGCUCUGUCCCUUUCUGGCUGUGUGAACCUGAGCAGGGCUCACUCGAUUUCCAUCUGGGCAGCGAGAGUGGGAAUUCUCCCUCUGCAGGGUUGGGGCAGGGGCUGGAGAGAUGCCACGUUGGUUUGCUAGGGCUGCCUUAACGCCCUACCACCAACUGGGGGGCUUACAGCAACAGGUGUUUAUUCUCUCACGGUUCUGGAUGCCCGCAGCCCCAAAUCAGGGGAUCAGCAGGGCCAGGCACUCUCUGCAGCCUCUAGGGAAGCAUCUUCCCUGUCUCUUAUGGCUUCUGGUGGUUGCUGGAAAUUCUUGGAGUUCCUUGGCUUGCAGUCGCAUCACUCCAGUUUCUGCCUCCAUCUUCACAUGGCUUUCUCCUGUGUGUCCCUGUGUUCUUCCCUCUUCCUGAAAGGACGUCACCCUCAUCCAGUAUGACCUCACCUUACCCAGUUUCUUUGCAAAGACUCUUUCCAAAUAAGGUCACAUUCUGAAGUUCUGGGGACACAUGAAUUUGGGGGGAAUGCUACUCCACCAUCUAGAAGAGAUGCCUUGCCUAUUAUGGCAGAUGACAUUCUAGCAGAUGACAGCAUUUGGUAUUUUUAGGAUUGUCACUUAUCAGAGGUCUGGAUAGAUAUUUCUCAAGGAAGAUGGGAGCAAGCCUGGCUAUUUGGGGAACAGAAGGCUGGCAGGACUGCAGAAGCUGAAGAAGGGGGGUGGUUGGAUUGGGGGUAGGAGAGAAGGCAGGAUGGGAUGAAGCAGCUGGCGACGUGGACAGAGUGGCCCCGGAGCUGGAGAGACCAUGUUGCUUUAUUCCAGGCCUGAUCUUUUGAUCAGGGAGGAAUUCAAAAGAAUGCCCCCUUGUGAUGGCUGCGCUGUCAAGUACAUGGAGCUUCCCUCGAGGAUUUUCUGAGCCUUGUGGAUGUACUGUGAGCCUCGCUGCCUGGGGAGUAAGGCGGCGGAAGCAGUCUCUGGGGGGACCCAUGCCCGCAGCAUUUCUGGAUGCUAAAGGUGGCUUUAAGGAAGGCCCAGCUGAGUGCCUCGUGGAUUCCUGCAGCCUGGAUGCCUGCGGGGGACAGAAGACCGAUGCUUCCUGCCCUCAUCACCCAGGAAUGUCGGGAGGGGGCUCCGCCAAUUCCCUGAAGGGCUCCCAGUGAAACCUUCCUGUGAUGGCUGUGGUGUAAUCUGAAAAAAAGCAGAUCCGUUCAGAACUCCAGAAGGACUUGAAAACUGUCCUGCCCCGAACGAAAGCUGGAAUAUCGUGGGCUUUGAUGAACCAAGGAAAAGUGCCUUCAUCAGGACGCAGCAGUAAGCCUGCUGACUACUUAAGCCCUGCCUAGGUUCCUAGGAAAUGGGCAGGAAAAGUGCCUGCCACCUGCUGCUUGCUGGUGUGCUGUUUUGGCAGCAGGAGCUGUGGGAACACACAGGGGCAGGAGAACAAACACAUUACACACGAGGACUUCCAUCCUCCAGCCAGCAAGGUGCCGACACCUCACACUUGACACCUGCUGAGCGCCCUACUGUGUGCCCCGCCCCCUGAACGAGGCAGCCUCGGAGCUUGGAUCCUAGUUGGAGAGACAGGCAAUUAGCAGGAUGGCAGAUCCACAUCCAGGAUCCUGGGAAGCACUUGACAGAGGGGAGGAGCCCAGCAAUAACACUGACCAAAGAGAAGUGAAUCCUUUUGCCCAGUGACUGGAAGACACAAGAAAGUGGUGGGGGGUGGGAGGCAGGGGGGAAGGAGCCUGGCACCUUGCCACGCUUCCCCUGUAAGGAGCACACACCCUCUCCCCCACCCCCUCCCCCCAAACACAUAAUACCUUUUAACUGGUGAUUUGGUCACUGCUGUGCUAUCUUCAUUGAAUGUGGUUUUGAGAGAAUGGUUGGUCUGGAAAUUUUAUUUUCAAUUAAACUUCCUUGUGGAACUGCC